rnacentral:lncRNA from 1 species
GUCAAAGACAUUCCCCCGUCAGUCCCGCACUCUCGGACGCGAUUUUCGAUUGGGCCCCGGCCGCCGCGCAAGCUGACUUCCGCCCGGAAACCAUACUGCCCUCACACGAGAGACUCGCUGGGGUAACAGCUGGGUAAAACCGGGUUGCCCUCAAGACCGCACCAUGCCUCGGUAGAAUACGAUCUAUCAUUGGGACCACCACAUAAUGCCACAACUGGGAUCGAACCGGAGACUGGCACAACCAAACCCCAUGGGAUUACCCAGCUGGGCUGGGAGGAGGUAAACUCUCAAUCUCAAGUUGGUAAAAGGUUGGAUUCUCCCUUAUGCUUAUAUUCCUCAAUAUUGCAACCCAUUUUCAGGUUAUGCAGCAAAUAGGAUACAUUAGUGGAAUGGCUUCUUCGU